UCCACCCCUCUGGAUCUCUCUAUUUAGACAACACCCUGUAUUAAGCUGUGGAGAACAGAGAAGAUCCCACGGGUCCAACUUCAACAGCAACCAUGUCCUCUACAUCUCUAUUGCUCCUGCUGGCAGCUGCAUCCUGUGUUCACGGUGAGGAACUGACUCAGCCUGGUUCCAUGGUGGUCCGUCCAGGCCAGAGUCUGACCAUCGACUGCAAGGUUUCAUAUUCAGUUAGCAGUUAUUGGUCAGCCUGGAUCCGACAGCCUGCAGGAAAAGCUCUGGAGUGGAUUGGAAAUAUCUAUAGCGGUGGGGGCACCGACUACAGUGAUAAACUGAAAAGCAAGUUCAGCAUCUCCAGAGACACUGGAACCAACACAAUAACAUUACGAGGACAGAAUCUGCAGACUGAAGACACAGCUGUGUAUUACUGUGCGGGAGAUACACAGUGACACUAACUAAUGAACACGGCUUACAAAAACCCAG